GACGAACGCUGGCGGCGUGCCUAUUACAUGCAAGUAGAACGCUGAAGGAGGAGCUUGCUCUUCUGGAUGAGUUGCGAACGGGUGAGUAACGCGUAGGUAACCUGCCUGGUAGCGGGGGAUAACUAUUGGAAACGAUAGCUAAUACCGCAUAACAGUAGAUGUUGCAUGACAUUAACUUAAAAGGUGCAAUUGCAUCACUACCAGAUGGACCUGCGUUGUAUUAGCUAGUUGGUGGGGUAACGGCUCACCAAGGCGACGAUACAUAGCCGACCUGAGAGGGUGAUCGGCCACACUGGGACUGAGACACGGCCCAGACUCCUACGGGAGGCAGCAGUAGGGAAUCUUCGGCAAUGGACGGAAGUCUGACCGAGCAACGCCGCGUGAGUGAAGAAGGGUUUCGGAUCGUAAAGCUCUGUUGUAAGAGAAGAACGAGUGUGAGAGUGGAAAGUUCACACUGUGACGGUAUCUUACCAGAAAGGGACGGCUAACUACGUG
rnacentral:rRNA from 1 species